rnacentral:sRNA from 1 species
GUUUCAAUUCCUCAUAGGCAGGCUAUCGGCACGCAAUCUGUACUAGACUUUUUGAGGGAAAAGUGAG